rnacentral:rRNA from 1 species
CGACCGGCGCACGGGUGAGUAGCGCGUAUGCAACCUGCCCGUUUCAGCGGGAUAACCCGGAGAAAUCCGGCCUAAUACCGCAUGUGGCCGAGGGGAGGCAUCUUCUUUCGGCCAAAGGAGGCAACUCCGGAGACGGAUGGGCAUGCGUGACAUUAGCUUGUUGGCGGGGUAACGGCCCACCAAGGCGACGAUGUCUAGGGGUUCUGAGAGGAAGGUCCCCCACACUGGUACUGAGACACGGACCAGACUCCUACGGGAGGCAGCAG